GAAAUACUCCCUCGUCUAGAAAUACUUGUCCGAGGAAUGGAUGUAUCUAGAUGUAUUUUAGUUCUAGAUACAUCCAUUUGUAUCUAUUUCUACGACAAGUAUUUCCGGACGAAGGGAGUACGAU
rfam:Triticum urartu cultivar G1812 contig919911, whole genome shotgun sequence.